AGUUAAUGAACUUGAACAAGUAUAUGCCUUGAAAGCAUAAAAUAGAAGUAAAUCCUUCUAUUAACUU
rnacentral:tRNA from 1 species